rnacentral:rRNA from 1 species
ACACGGACCAAGGAGUGCAACAUGUGCGCGAGCCGCUUGGCAAGAAAACCAGAAGGCGCAAUGAAAGUGAAGGCACGGUCGCCGUGCUGAGGUGAGAGCUGUCGCCYGGCAGCGCAUCAUCGACCGAUCCCAUCCGCUCCCUCGUGGUGCGGCGGGAUUCGAGUAAGAGUGCAUCUGUUGCGACCCGAAAGAUGGUGAACUAUGCCUGAAUAGGGUGAAGCCAGAGGAAACUCUGGUGGAGGCCCGUAGCGAUUCUGACGUGCAAAUCGAUCGUCAAAUUUGGGUAUAGGGGCGAAAGACUAAUCGAACCAUCUAGUAGCUGGUUCCCUCCGAAGUUUCCCUCAGGAUAGCUGUAGCCCGAAGCAGUUUUAUCAGGUAAAGCGAAUGAUUAGAGGUAUCGGGGAAGAAACUUCCUCGACCUAUUCUCAAACUUUAAAUAGGUAAGAAGUCCGACUUGCUCAAUUUGAAGCCGGACACAGAAUGCUGGGUUACUAGUGGGCCAUUUUUGGUAAGCAGAACUGGCGAUGCGGGAUGAACCGAACGCCGAGUUAAGGUGCCAAAGUCGACGCUCAUCAGAUCCCACAAAAGGUGUUGGUUGAUAUAGACAGCAGGACGGUGGCCAUGGAAGUCGGAAUCCGCUAAGGAGUGUGUAACAACU